ACCUGCAGUCGACGAGAAAGUGGAGCAAUCCAUGAGUAAAGUGGCGCACGGGUGAGUCACACGUGGGUAAUCUACCCUCUGGUGGGGAAUAACUCUGGGAAACCGGAGCUAAUACCGCAUAAGACCGGGAGGUGAAAGGGCGAAAGUUCGCCGGAGGAGGAGCCCGCGGCUGAUUAGCUAGUUGGUAGGGUAAGAGCCUACCAAGGCUGAGAUCGGUAGCCGGCCUGAGAGGGCACACGGCCACACUGGCACUGAAACACGGGCCAGACUCCUACGGGAGGCAGCAGUGGGGAAUCUUGCACAAUGGAGGCAACUCUGAUGCACCGACGCCGCGUGAGUGAUGAAGCCCUUCGGGGUGUAAAGCUCUUUCUACCCGGAAGAUAAUGACGGUACGGGGAGAAGAAGCUGCGGCUAACUACGUGCCAGCAGCCGCGGUAAUACGUAGGCAGCGAGCGUUGUUCGGAGUUACUGGGCGUAAAGCGUGCGUAGGCGGUGUCUUAAGUUUGUUGUGAAAUCUCACACGCUUAACCGGGAGGGUGCGGCUAAUCCUGAUAAUGCUCGUGUGCCAGAGAGGUAAGAGGAAUUCCCUGAUAUCCCGUUGAAGUGCGUAGAUAUCAGGAGG
rnacentral:rRNA from 1 species